rnacentral:rRNA from 1 species
UGGGGAAUUUUCCGCAAUGGGCGAAAGCCUGACGGAGCAAUACCGCGUGAGGGAGGAAGGCUCUUGGGUUGUAAACCUCUUUUCUUAAGGAAGAAGUUCUGACGGUACUUAAGGAAUAAGCAUCGGCUAACUCCGUGCCAGCAGCCGCGGUAAUACGGAGGAUGCAAGCGUUAUCCGGAAUCAUUGGGCGUAAAGAGUCCGUAGGUGGUCAAUCAAGUCUGCUGUUAAAGAAUGAGGCUUAACCUCAUAUAGGCAGUGGAAACUGAAGGACUAGAGUUCGGUAGGGGUAGAGGGAAUUCCCAGUGUAGCGGUGAAAUGCGUAGAUAUUGGGAAGAACACCAGUGGCGAAAGCGCUCUACUGGGCCGAAACUGACACUGAGGGACGAAAGCUAGGGUAGCGAAAGGG